rnacentral:rRNA from 1 species
CCUACGGGAGGCAGCAGUGAGGAAUAUUGGUCAAUGGGCGGGAGCCUGAACCAGCCAAGUCGCGUGAGGGACGACGGUCCUAAGGAUUGUAAACCUCUUUUGUCGGGGAACAAAGGCGCCCACGGGUGGCCGGAUGAGUGUACCCGAAGAAAAAGCAUCGGCUAACUCCGUGCCAGCAGCCGCGGUAAUACGGAGGAUGCGAGCGUUAUCCGGAUUUAUUGGGUUUAAAGGGUGCGCAGGCGGACUGUUAAGUCAGCGGUCAAAACGCGGGGCUCAACGCCGGACCGCCGUUGAAACUGGCAGUC